rnacentral:rRNA from 1 species
GAUGAACGCUAGCUACAGGCUUAACACAUGCAAGUCGAGGGGUAACGAGAGGAAAGCUUGCUUUCCUCGUCGACGACCGGCGCACGGGUGAGUACCGCGUAUCCAACCUGCCCCCAACUAGGGAAUAACCUUGCGAAAGUAAGACUAAUACCCUAUAAUUUCCUCAGAUGUCAUCUGACGAGGAAUCAAGAUUUACCGGUUGUGGAUGGGGAUGCGUCUGAUUAGCUUGUUGGCUUGGUAACGGCCCACCAAGGCAACGAUCAGUAGGGGUUCUGAGAGGAAGGUCCCCCACAUUGGAACUGAGACACGGUCCAAGCUCCUACGGGAGGCAGCAGUGAGGAAUAUUGGUCAAUGGGCGGAAGCCUGAACCAGCCAAGUAGCGUGCAGGAUGACGGCCCUAUGGGUUGUAAACUGCUUUUAUACAGGAAUAAAGUUAGCCACGUGUGGUUAUUUGUAGGUACUGUAUGAAUAAGGACCGGCUAAUUCCGUGCCAGCCGCCGCCGUAA